rnacentral:lncRNA from 1 species
GCUACUGCUCUUUGUUACUACUCUGAGAGUAGUGAUCAAUUAGAAAUCAACCGCAUCGAAAGUAAGAACAUGUCUGAGUAUCUGGUGAAUCUUUUAAUUUCAAACCCUGAAAUUCUGCCAAUAGGUAUCGGCAUGAUCAGGUAUCGUGACACAUGUGCUGAAGCCAUUCGUUUCUUCAAAAUGAAAAGCCCUAUUACCGAAAUAUCUGAUGCCUGCAGAAAGUUACUUGAAGUUAGUUGUGAGGAAUUGUUGCCUAGUAUAGUGAAAGGGGAUCAAUCCAAAUCUGUACUCUUUGAUGGUUGUAGACUUGCAUUAGCUUUGAGAAAGAUGAAAAACAGGGAGAUAAUGUGGAAAGUGAUGAGUCAAGUAUGGAUCGAGAUUCUGGCUUAUGCAGCUGCUCACUGCAGAGUGUUCCACCAUUCACAGCAGCUUGGGAGAGGGGGAGAAUUUCUGACUCAUGUUUGGCUUUUGAUGGCACACUUAGGAAUGACAGAGCAUUUCCAGGUAACUCAUGGCCAUGCAAGAGCUAGGUUCAAUGUUUCAUAGGCAUAGCUUGGGAUUAGCAUUUCAUUUGCUUUAAUACUUAUGUAGAUUAACCAUUCUAUUUGUUUGUUUUCUAUUUUCGUAAUUGAAAAAGUUGUGCCUUUCUGCCUAAGUUGGCACACAUUCACUGUCUGUACAUUAAUUAUCCAAUUUUCAUAUUUUUUUGUUCAAAAUUUUAUUGUAUAAUAAUAAUGUUCUUUCAGAAAUUUUUACUCUUGGGUUUCUAAAUAUGUCUUGCGUAAGUGAAAAAGUCAUGAAUGUGUAAUGUUAUAGUGGGUGAUACUGGUUCAAUCUUUUCAAAGUUAUAUCUAGGAAUAUAGUUCAUGUACAACACCUUUCCAAUUUCAUUUUUGCAAAGAGACUGUUUUAUGACUCAAGGAGAGAGCAAUUUCACACAUAAUUAGCUGUAACAAUGUAAGUAAGUGAGGUGAAAAUCUAACACCCAAUAUUAGAGCCCACACUAGGUGGACCUUCACCGGGUGUGUGUAGUGUGUGCUCUACUGCUCUAGAGACCAUGUUUCAGAUACUGACCAACCUCAAUACUGCUCUACUAUGUUAGUUACUACUUAGGGAAAAUGAAUUAAAAGCCCAAUGAAGUUUCCAAACCAUUCAAACAACCUCAAUCAUGUUUUGUAUUAAAAAAAACCCAACGAACUUAACUUUUUGUCUAAAAAAUCCAACAAAGUUCCAAACAGUUCAAAAAAUCCCAAUUUUGUUUUGUUUAAAUUCGUUGGAUUUUUUUUGAACAGUCAAAACAUGAUUGGAGUUCUUUAAACGUUUUGGAAACUUCGUUGGUCUAACAAGUCAUUUUCCCCAUACAGUAAUAAGCUAUGCCAUAUGUUUCUCUUAUUUGACUUUCAGGAAAGUGUAACUUAGUUAAGCUUUUUAGACAAAAGGUUAAGUUUGUUGGGUUUUUUUGAACAGACAAAACAUGAUUGAGUUUCUUUUGAACGGUUUAGAAACUUCAUUGGGCUCGUAAGUCAUUUUCCCUACUACUUAUGAUCAACAUGAUUGUCUUAUCGUUCCAUUUUUUACGACUUGUAAGUUGUAACACACUUGAUAUAUUGUUGAAAACAUGCAUCAAAUUUUGUGUGAUCAACCAUUGAAAUAUUUGGUGGGACAGGUGUAAGGUAAAAAGGGUUGUUGAAUUAGAAGUUGGAUGCAGAGUAUAUGUUUAUGGAUUUUCAAGCUUCUUAAUUAAAAAUUUUAAAAGCUUGUAAAAGUGCACUUAACUUACUGUUUGAAGUCUAAAUUGCAUAACAUGUUCGAUUAGCUCCAGACCUCCAGUAUAUAUUGUAUCGGUUCAUUGAGUUGCCAUCUGGACAGAAUAAAACCUGAGUCAUGUUUCAAGAGUCACAGAAAUUAACCAGUACUUGUAAAAUUAAGAAUAAUGUCUUUUGGGCUUUUCUACUCAAUUCUUUAAAAGCCACAGGCUCUUGAUGCACUAGGGUCACAAUUUUACUACAAGUAAACAAUGAAGAGAACAAAAGAAAGGGAACUUGUGGUGGAUGCAAGUAAAAAACAACUCUAAACCUAUUCUGAAAAUAAGUAACUGAAACGAAACACAGAGUGACUUGAAAUCAAACCUGAAGAUUGAAUUUUGUUUGGAUCAAAAGUAGUUGGCUAUCAUGCUUAUACUCAACAUUAAGACCAGACUAACAGGUGUAUCGUGAUAUAGAGCAGUGGGUGAUUGAUGCCUUAAAAGGCUUAAACUAAACCAGAUGGGUUCGAGAAAACUAUAUCGAUUAUUUUUUUGCUCUCGGUCUGCCUAAACAAGCAGAUAACCGAAAUUCCGCACAUGGGGGGAUACCGGGAUGCUACUAUUCAUGAACGCCGGAAAGCUGAAGUCUACCAUUUAGACAAGAAAACGGUAAAAAAAAACUAGAAAACGGGUGAACAGAAACACUGAAGCAUGAGCUUACAAACCGAAGGUAGCACGGUGUAGAUAAAGAGUUGAUAACUCACAGUUAUGCAGAGGCAAUCUCUGGAUGAACCAUGGGAAGCUGAAACCAUGAAUUAUGAACGUUCGUUUAUACUUCAAGAUGAUAAUAUCUACAACUGUAUUAUAUAGAAAACAACGAAAAAUCAAGCGUUUUUGUCUUUAUGCAUAUAAUACCAAGUCGUGGUUGACCCAAGUCAAGUUUAUCAUUGCUAAUAGUCUAGUCUUUUGAAGCUUUCCGUUAGCUUUCAUCCACCAGGAAAGC